CAUGAUAAAAGGAAGGGACUCUGCAGCUGAAAGAGUUCAGUCAGUUCAGACUCCAUUGUGACUCAGCAAAAGAAGGAAAACUGAAGGCUGAGGCAGAACAGACUGAAGUCCAGAACAUGAGUAUUUGUGGGGAGGAAGAGGAGGACAGACCAGAGACUGCAGGAUCCAGCUGUCUGUCUGUGAAGAGUGACCGGUCCAAAGAUAAACUUCCAGAAGUAACAAACCUGGACCCUCAGACACAAAUGAGAGGUGGUCUGCAGGAGGUUUUAGAUGAACAUAAGAUCAGUCUGAGGAGGAGAUGUG